CGCAAUCUUGCAAAGGAAUUGACUACUGGUGCAAUUGCAUCGGUUUUCUUGGAUUUCGGAUCUCUGUUUUUGCUGCUCUCUUCUGGUGUCUAUGUUUGAGUCUGUAACAUCAAAAAGUAGGACAAUGUAUGAGGUUUUACAUACUCACGACCUUUCCUCACAUUCUGAACCUAAGCUAAGCUUGGCUUCAAGUUUUGAUUAAUCAUUUG
rnacentral:lncRNA from 1 species